GAUGAACGCUGGCGGCGUGCCUAAUACAUGCAAGUCGAGCGAACAGACGAGGAGCUUGCUCCUUCGACGUUAGCGGCGGACGGGUGAGUAACACGUAUGUAACCUACCUAUAAUACUGGGAUAACUUCGGGAAACCGGAGCUAAUACCGGAUAAUAUUUCGAACCGCAUUGUUCUAUAGUGAAAUAUUGCUUUUCUUUCUCUUAUAGAUUUACCUGCGCCGUAUUAGCUAGUUGGUAAGGUAACGGCUUACCAAGGCAACGAUACGUAGCCGACCUGAGAGGGGGAUCGGCGACACGGGAAGUGAGACACGGUACAGACUCCUACGGGAGGCAGCAGUAGGGAAUAGUACGCAAUGGGCGAAAGCAUGACGGAGCAAAGACGCGUGAGUGAUGAAGGUCUUCGGAUCGUAAAACUCUGUUAUUAGGGAAGAACAAAAGUGUAAGUAAAUGUGCACGUCUUGACGGUAACUAAUCAGAAAGCAACGGCUAACUACGUG
rnacentral:rRNA from 1 species